rnacentral:rRNA from 1 species
AUUGAACGCUGGCAGCAGGCCUAACACAUGCAAGUCGAGCGGAUGAAAGGAGCUUGCUCCUGGAUUCAGCGGCGGACGGGUGAGUAAUGCCUAGGAAUCUGCCUGGUAGUGGGGGACAACGUUUCGAAAGGAACGCUAAUACCGCAUACGUCCUACGGGAGAAAGCAGGGGACCUUCGGGCCUUGCGCUAUCAGAUGAGC